rnacentral:tRNA from 1 species
UGGCGGUUAGCUCAGUUGGUUAGAGUGCAUGCUUUACACGCAUGAGGUCGCGGGUUCGAGACCCACACCGCCAACCA